rnacentral:rRNA from 1 species
GGGGAUAUUGCACAAUGGGGGAAACCCUGAUGCAGCGACGCCGCGUGAGUGAAGAAGUAUUUCGGUAUGUAAAGCUCUAUCAGCAGGGAAGAAAGGUGCCCCUUGGGCGCCUGGACCGUACCUGACUAAGAAGCCCCGGCUAACUAC